rnacentral:rRNA from 1 species
AUGGGCAGCGAGCGCAAGUCAGCGGUGAUGUCUGAUCGCUCCAGGAAGAUGACCGCGUACCACGAGGGAGGGCACGCCCUUGUUGCUAUCCUCACAGACGGCGCCGACCCCGUCCACAAGGCCACCAUUGUCCCCAGGGGAAACUCACUUGGCAUGGUGACACAACUGCCGGGAGAAGAUGGCGAGCUCGAACAGUCGAGGAAGCAGAUGCUGGCGAGACUGGAUGUCCUCAUGGGUGGGCGGGUGGCCGAGGAGCUCUUAGUUGGAGAGACCGGGGUCACCAGCGGCCCCUUCUCUGAUCUCAGCCAGGCGACUCAGUUGGCGAUGGACAUGGUCACCAAGUAUGGCAUGAGCAAACGGGUCGGCCUUCUUUCCUACGACGAUGGUGGGCGCGCGGCGACCAUGAGCGGGUCAAUGGCGGCCCUGGUCGAUGAGGAGGUGAAGGCAUUAUUGGACAAGGCUUACAGUAACGCAAAAACGAUUCUCACGGCGCACAGCAGGGAGCUCCAUGUCCUCGCCAACGCCCUCCUGCAGCAUGGAACUCUCUCCGGUGACCAGAUCAAGAAAAUAGUUUCGGCAGGUAGAUGGUUUUAA